rnacentral:lncRNA from 1 species
AGCAGAUUGAAUGAUGCAAAUCUAGCUUCAACUCGGAGAUUCCAAAACAAAAUCAUAUCAGCCUCCAUCAGCUUGGUCUUCGUGUAUCUGUCCACAUGCACAGCUGUUCAAGGUGAUCACGUUUCUCACAUAGGGAUGGAAACGCAAGUAGAUGCUUCUUAAUGUUUGUUCAAGAUAAAGAUGCACAUUGUGGCUGCUGCUCUAUAAAAAGUUUCAGCUGUUGUGAAGGAAGAUUCAGAUGAGUGCCUUUCAGCUGUUCAAUACACAUUGGAAUAUUUGACCGUGAGCACGAGAUCUGGGCCAGAAGCUGGGAAUCUCCUGUUACUGAUCUUAUGGGGGUAUCAAGAUAACAGGCUUGAAAGUCACAGCACUUGAAUA